UCCUAACAAAUGCUGCGUUGGCACUGUUUGGAAUGAAAGGCUGAAAAAAUGCAUCGAAUGCGAGAUCGGACACAUAGGCAUUUUUUGCGAAGUACCUUGUGAAUAUCCAUACUAUGGAAUAAGAUGUUUGAACAUGUGUAACUGCACCGUAGAGUUCUGUAAUAUUUCAACAGGGUGCUUGCAAACAAUAAGAGAGAGUGAUGUGUCAUUGGAAGAAAACAAUAAGAUCGCUACAGCAUAUUCUUCUAAAAAUAGUAAGAUGACACCUCGACAGACAAUACAAAGAUAUUCUACAUUGAAUUUUUCAUCAACCUAUCUCCCCAAUGUGAGACAAUUCCAAAGAAGAAGAUUGAAUGUUCUGCAAACAUGUUUAGUAGUUUUUGGAGUGCUACUUUGCAUUACUGUUAUCGCAUUA